rnacentral:rRNA from 1 species
CAGGUCUUGACAUCCUUUGACCACUCUAGAGAUAGAGCUUUCCCUUCGGGGACAAAGUGACAGGUGGUGCAUGGUUGUCGUCAGCUCGUGUCGUGAGAUGUUGGGUUAAGUCCCGCAACGAGCGCAACCCCUAUUAUUAGUUGCCAGCAUUUAGUUGGGCACUCUAGUGAGACUGCCGGUGAUAAACCGGAGGAAGGUGGGGAUGACGUCAAAUCAUCAUGCCCCUUAUGACCUGGGCUACACACGUGCUACAAUGGAUGGUACAACGAGUCGCAAGAUCGCGAGGUCAAGCUAAUCUCUUAAAGCCAUUCUCAGUUCGGAUUGCAGGCUGCAACUCGCCUGCAUGAAGCCGGAAUCGCUAGUAAUCGCGGAUCAGAACGCCGCGGUGAAUACGUUCCC